UACGGAGGGUGCAAGCGUUAUUCGGAUUUAUUGGGUUUAAAGGGUGCGUAGGCGGGGUAGUAAGUCAGUGGUGAAAUCUUCCAGCUUAACUGGGAACCUGCCAUUGAUACUGCUAUCCUUGAGUUCAGUUGAAGUGGGCGGAAUGUGGCAUGUAGCGGUGAAAUGCAUAGAUAUGCCACAGAACACCAAUUGCGAAGGCAGCUCACUAAACUGUUACUGACGCUCAGGCACGAAAGCGUGGGGAGCGAACAGG
rnacentral:misc_RNA from 1 species